GACGAACGCUGGCGGCGUGCUUAACACAUGCAAGUCGAACGAUGAAGCGGUGCUUGCACCGUGGAUUAGUGGCGAACGGGUGAGUAAUACGUGAGUGACCUACCUUUGACUCUGGGAUAAGCCUGGGAAACUGGGUCUAAUACCGGAUACGACCAAUCUCUGCAUGGGGUGUUGGUGGAAAGCGUUAUGGAGUGGUUUUAGAUGGGCUCACGGCCUAUCAGCUUGUUGGUGAGGUAAUGGCUUACCAAGGCGACGACGGGUAGCCGGCCUGAGAGGGUGACCGGCCACACUGGGACUGAGACACGGCCCAGACUCCUACGGGAGGCAGCAGUGGGGAAUAUUGCACAAUGGGCGCAAGCCUGAUGCAGCGACGCCGCGUGAGGGAUGACGGCCUUCGGAUUGUAAACCUCUGUUAGCAUCGAAGAAGCGAAAGUGACGGUAGGUGCAGAGAAAGCGCCGGCUAACUACGUGCCAGCAGCCGCGGUAAUACGUAGGGCGCGAGCGUUGUCCGGAAUUAUUGGGCGUAAAGAGCUUGUANGCGGUUGGUCGCGUCUGCUGUGAAGGCCGGGGCUUAACUCCGGUUUUGCAGUGGGUACGGGCUAACUAGAGUGCAGUAGGGGAGACUGGAAUUCCUGGUGUAGCGGUGGAAUGCACAGAUAUCAGGAGGAACACCGAUGGCGAAGGCAGGUCUCUGGGCUGUAACUGACGCUGAGAAGCGAAAGCAUGGGGAGCGAACAGGAUUAGAUACCCUGGUAGUCCAUGCCGUAAACGUUGGGCACUAGGUGUGGGGGACAUUCCACGUUUUCCGCGCCGUAGCUAACGCAUUAAGUGCCCCGCCUGGGGAGUACGGCCGCAAGGCUAAAACUCAAAGGAAUUGACGGGGGCCCGCACAAGCGGCGGAGCAUGCGGAUUAAUUCGAUGCAACGCGAAGAACCUUACCAAGGCUUGACAUGCAUUAGAUCGCGUCAGAGAUGGCGUUUCCCUUCGGGGCUGGUGUACAGGUGGUGCAUGGUUGUCGUCAGCUCGUGUCGUGAGAUGUUGGGUUAAGUCCCGCAACGAGCGCAACCCUCGUUCUAUGUUGCCAGCGGUUCGGCCGGGGACUCAUAGGAGACUGCCGGGGUCAACUCGGAGGAAGGUGGGGAUGACGUCAAAUCAUCAUGCCCCUUAUGUCUUGGGCUUCACGCAUGCUACAAUGGCCGGUACAGAGGGUUGCGAUACUGUGAGGUGGAGCUAAUCCCUUAAAGCCGGUCUCAGUUCGGAUUGGGGUCUGCAACUCGACCCCAUGAAGUCGGAGUCGCUAGUAAUCGCAGAUCAGCAACGCUGCGGUGAAUACGUUCCCGGGCCU
rnacentral:rRNA from 1 species